rnacentral:rRNA from 1 species
GAUGAACGCUGGCGGCGUGCAUAACACAUGCAAGUCGAACGGAGUGGCGGACGGGUUAGGAAUGCCUAUGAAGCAGACUGGUAGUGGGGGAUAACGUCCGGAGACGGGCGCUAAUGCCGCAUACUAUCAGAUGGGCCUAGGUCGGAUGAGCUAGUUGGUGGGGUAAAGGCCUACCAAGGCGACGAUCCGUAACUGGUCUGAUAGGAGGAUGAGUCACACUGGAACUGAGACACGGUCCAGAAUCCUACGGGAGGAAGCAGUGGGGAAUAUUGGACAAUGGGCGAAGGCCUGAUCCAGCCAUGCCGCGUGUGUGAAGAAGGUCUUCGGAUUGUAAAGCACUUUAAGUUGGGAGGCGUUACCAACAGAAUAAGCACCGGCUAACUUCGUGCCAGCAGCCGCGGUAAUAC